GGAAGUAAAAGUAACAAGGUCUCCGUUGGUGAACCAGCGGAGGGAUCAUUACAGGAUCGAAAGACUCCUAUAACCCCUGUGAACUUACUACAAAUACGUUGCUUCGGCGGGUGCCCCGGGUCUCCCGGGGCGUUCAGCCCGCCGGCAGCCUUCAAAUUCUGUUUCUUUGCGUUGGCAUCUCGAGUAUACAAAAAUAAGUUAAAACUUUCAACAACGGAUCUCUUGGUUCUG
rnacentral:misc_RNA from 1 species